CGCAAGCCUGACGGAGCAAGACCGCGUGGGGGAGGAAUGCCUUAGGGUUGUAAACCGCUUUUCUCAGGGAAGAAGACCUGACGGUACCUGAGGAAUCAGCAUCGGCUAACUCCGUGCCAGCAGCCGCGGUAAUACGGAGGAGGCAAGCGUUAUCCGGAAUUAUUGGGCGUAAAGAGUCCGUAGGUGGUUCAUCAAGUCUGCUGUUAAAGCGUGCAGCUCAACUGCAUAUAGGCAGUGGAAACUGUUGAACUAGAGUAUGGUAGGGGUAGGGGGAAUUCCCAGUGUAGCGGUGAAAUGCGUAGAGAUUGGGAAGAACACCGGUGGCGAAAGCGCCCUACUGGGCCAUAACUGACACUGAGGGACGAAAGCUAGGGGAGCG
rnacentral:rRNA from 1 species